UACGAAGGGGGCUAGCGUUGCUCGGAAUUACUGGGCGUAAAGCGCACGUAGGCGGCGAUUUAAGUCAGAGGUGAAAGCCCGGGGCUCAACCCCGGAAUAGCCUUUGAGACUGGAUUGCUAGAAUCUUGGAGAGGCGAGUGGAAUUCCGAGUGUAGAGGUGAAAUUCGUAGAUAUUCGGAAGAACACCAGUGGCGAAGGCGGCUCGCUGGACAAGUAUUGACGCUGAGGUGCGAAAGCGUGGGGAGCAAACAGG
rnacentral:rRNA from 1 species